UACGUAGGGUGCAGGCGUUAAUCGGAAUUACUGGGCGUAAAGCGUGCGCAGGCGGUUUGCUAAGACAGGUGUGAAAUCCCCGGGCUUAACCUGGGAACUGCGCUUGUAACUAGCAGGCUAGAGUGUGGCAGAGGGGGGUGGAAUUCCACGUGUAGCAGUGAAAUGCGUAGAGAUGUGGAGGAACACCGAUGGCGAAGGCAGCCCCCUGGGCUAACACUGACGCUCAUGCACGAAAGCGUGGGGAGCAAACAGG
rnacentral:rRNA from 1 species